rnacentral:rRNA from 1 species
UACGUAGGGUGCAAGGCGUUGUCCGGAAUUAUUGGGCGUAAAGAGCUCGUAGGCGGUUUGUCGCGUCUGCUGUGAAAACUCGGGGCUUAACUCCGGGCCUGCAGUGGGUACGGGCAGACUAGAGUGCGGUAGGGGAGACUGGAAUUCCUGGUGUAGCGGUGAAAUGCGCAGAUAUCAGGAGGAACACCGGUGGCGAAGGCGGGUCUCUGGGCCGUAACUGACGCUGAGGAGCGAAAGCGUGGGGAGCGAUCCGG